CGGGUGUGGUUCAAUGGUAGAACUGAAGCCUUCCAAGCUUCUAACGCGGGUUCGAUUCCCGUCACCC
rnacentral:tRNA from 5 species